rnacentral:rRNA from 1 species
UACGAAGGGGGCUAGCGUUGCUCGGAAUCACUGGGCGUAAAGCGCACGUAGGCGGCUUUUUAAGUCAGAGGUGAAAUCCUGGAGCUCAACUCCAGAACUGCCUUUGAUACUGGAGAGCUGAGUCCGGGAGAGGUGAGUGGAACUGCGAGUGUAGAGGUGAAAUUCGUAGAUAUUCGCAAGAACACCAGUGGCGAAGGCGGCUCACUGGCCCGGUACUGACGCUGAGGUGCGAAAGCGUGGGAG